UCCGAGUUGACCCCGGCAGUCUCCUACGAGUCCCCGGCAUUACCCGCUGGCAACAUAGGACAAGGGUUGCGCUCGUUGCGGGACUUAACCCAACAUCUCACUAGUUCCCCGAAAGGCACCCCUCCAUCUCUGGAAGGUUCUAGUGGAUUUAACCCAGGUAAGGUUCUGCGCGUUGCGUCGAAUUGAACCACAUGCUCCACCGCUUGUGCGGGCCCCCGUCAAUUCCUUUGAGUUUUAGCCUUGCGGCCGUACUCCCCAGGCGGGGCACUUAAUGCGUUAGCUUCGGCACGGAGGGAGUCGACACCCCCCACACCUAGUGCCCAUCGUUUACAGCGUGGACUAC
rnacentral:misc_RNA from 1 species